rnacentral:lncRNA from 1 species
UCUCAAGGGUAUGAAAGAAAGAGAAAAAUAUUCUCUCUUAUACAUAGAAAAUUGAGAAGAAAGGAUUCUUCUCUUGAUCUCUAUUGUAGAGAUCAGAUGAAUGGAUCCAAAAAGAAAAGGAGAGGGUCUCCUUAUUCUUCAAUUCUAUCAUGUUCCUCUUAAAUCAGUCAAUGGAUGAUGUUUUCACGAGCUAGCACUCCCGGA